rnacentral:rRNA from 1 species
UACGGAGGGAGCUAGCGUUGUUCGGAAUUACUGGGCGUAAAGCGCACGUAGGCGGCGAUUCAAGUCAGAGGUGAAAGCCCGGGGCUCAACUCCGGAACUGCCUUUGAAACUAGAUUGCUAGAAUCUUGGAGAGGCGAGUGGAAUUCCGAGUGUAGAGGUGAAAUUCGUAGAUAUUCGGAAGAACACCAGUGGCGAAGGCGACUCGCUGGAAAAGUAUUGACGCUGAGGUGCGAAAGCGGGGGGAGCAAACAGG